rnacentral:rRNA from 1 species
UACGAAGGGGGCUAGCGUUGCUCGGAUUGACUGGGCGUAAAGGGCGCGUAGGCGGUUUGCAUAGUCAGACGUGAAAUUCCUGGGCUUAACCUGGGGGCUGCGUUUGAUACAUGCAGGCUUGAGUUCGGAAGAGGGUCGUGGAAUUCCCAGUGUAGAGGUGAAAUUCGUAGAUAUUGGGAAGAACACCGGUGGCGAAGGCAAUCCCCUGGACCUGUACUGACGCUCAUGCACGAAAAGCGUGGGGGAGCAAAACAGG